AGCGAACGCUGGCGGCAGGCCUAACACAUGCAAGUCGAACGCGUGUAGCAAUACACGAGUGGCAGACGGGUGAGUAACACGUGGGAACGUGCCCUUCGGUUCGGAAUAACUCAGGGAAACUUGAGCUAAUACCGGAUACGCCUUACGGGAAAGAUUUAUCGCCGAUGGAUCGGCCCGCGUCUGAUUAGCUAGUUGGUGAGGUAACGGCUCACCAAGGCGACGAUCAGUAGCGGUCUGAGAGGAUGAUCAGCCACACUGGGACUGAGACACGGCCCAGACUCCUACGGGAGGCAGCAGUGGGGAAUAUUGGGACAAUGGGGGAAACCCGUGAUCCAGCCAUGCCGCGUGAGUGAUGAA
rnacentral:rRNA from 1 species